CCUACGGGCGGCUGCAGUGGGGAGUAUUGCACAAUGGGCGCAAGCCUGAUGCAGCCAUGCCGCGUGUGUGAAGAAGGCCUUCGGGUUGUAAAGCACUUUCAGCGGGGAGGAAGGCGGUGAGGUUAAUAACCUCAUCGAUUGACGUUACCCGCAGAAGAAGCACCGGCUAACUCCGUGCCAGCAGCCGCGGUAAUACGGAGGGUGCAAGCGUUAAUCGGAAUUACUGGGCGUAAAGCGCACGCAGGCGGUCUGUCAAGUCGGAUGUGAAAUCCCCGGGCUCAACCUGGGAACUGCAUUCGAAACUGGCAGGCUAGAGUCUUGUAGAGGGGGGUAGAAUUCCAGGUGUAGCGGUGAAAUGCGUAGAGAUCUGGAGGAAUACCGGUGGCGAAGGCGGCCCCCUGGACAAAGACUGACGCUCAGGUGCGAAAGCGUGGGGAGCAAACAGGAUUAGAUACCCCGGUAGUC
rnacentral:rRNA from 1 species